CAGUAGCCGCGGUAAUACGUAGGGUGCAAGCGUUGUCCGGAAUUAUUGGGCGUAAAGAGCUCGUAGGCGGCUAGUCGCGUCGGCUGUGAAAACCUGGGGCUCAACCCCGGGCCUGCAGCCGAUACGGGCUAGCUAGAAUUCGGUAGGGGAGACUGGAAUUCCUGGUGUAGCGGUGAAAUGCGCAGAUAUCAGGAGGAACACCGGUGGCGAAGGCGGGUCUCUGGGCAGUUACUGACGCUGAGGAGCGAAAGCAUGGGUAGCGAACAGGAUUAGAUACCCCAGUAGUCCCUGUCUCUUAUAC
rnacentral:rRNA from 1 species